rnacentral:tRNA from 1 species
GCGGGCGUAGCUCAGUUGGUAGAGCGAAGCCUUGCCAAGGCUUAGGUCGCGGGUUCAAGUCCCGUCGCCCGCUCCA